AUAUAUGAUUGAAAUUCUGUGAUAUUUUAUAACGAAAACAAGAUAUUAAGCCGCCUAAAAUCCUAAAACUUUGAAUAAGAUAUACCAUUGAAAUUCUGCAAAUAUAGCUGAAUGUUUCAUUAUGAAUUUCGGUGCAGCUCUAGUUUCCCACUUUUUUUAAACCAGCAAUAUUAAAGAAUGAAAGCAUUAAAUACAACAAUAAAGGUUAAAAGAAGUAAGAACCAGAUGAACCUUUCCAAUUUCCAUGCAGUGGUUGAAUUCAUUGCAUCCUCAAUAUACUCUUCGAAGCAAUGUCCAUUUCUGGUUGUGACAUCCUCUUAAGCUCUUCUUCAAAGCAUCGAAGCUCAUCGAUGGCACUUUCCAUGACACAUUCAAGCCUCAUGAGAUCUUCACUUGUGGAGGGAUCAGAGCUCCUUUCUUGUAAUGCUUGGUUUGAGAGGAAGGUGAACUGGGAAAUGAGGUCUUCCAUUUUUCUUCCUAUGGUGAGGUAAGUGUGAAUUGAAUAAGCAAUUCUAAGAUUGGUUUAGUGCUUGAAUUCACAGGGUAAGGAAUGCUAUCUUAUAUCAUAUCAUAUAUAUCAUUAUAAAGUAUGGGUAUUUUUUACUUUUUAUAAUGUCGAGAAUUCGCGAGAGGGUCACAUGGUUCCAAAUGCAUAUUGGACCAAGUCUUAUGAGUAAAAGCUCUAAUGGGACAGCAAAAUUAGUAAGAUAGAAUGAUUAAAUCUAAUUAUUAGCUCACACUCUAUUCAGUUUGAUGUUGAAGAAAAGGGUUAGAUAAAGGAGCAAAUUGACAUUGAAAUCCAGCUUUUUUUUGUCACCUUUCUUGGGUUUAUAGGUUCAUAAAUAUUUUAUACUUAUCCUUAAUAGAACAUAGAAUCAAUUUAAAUAAAACUUAUACUAAAUUUAAAUUAUAUGGUUUUUUUUAUAUGAUAGUCGAUAUACCUCAUUAUUUUAUGUGAUAGAAUUGAGCCGUUGGAGCUCUUUUGUUAACUUGCUCUCAUUUGGUAAUUAUCACCUUUAUGCAUGGUGCAGAUUAAAAGUAUUAUUUUUUCCCCUUAUCAAACUCAUUAGCGAAAUCUUUGUCACUGUCUAAUAGAAAGUUUAGGGUGGGACCAUAGGUUUGAAAUUUUAAUGUUGUUAUGUUAUUCUGAAAUGCAAAGAAUGUGGAUGCGGACAUUUUGAAUGUUAAGUGUAAGAAUGCUUCCAAAAACAAAAUCACAUGUGGGACACUCGAAUACAUGUGUAGAUUAUGACAGCCCUAACGUGCACUUUUUUUUUGUCAGGGAUCCGGAGCAGACGACCCAAGACCAACCCGCAACCCGACCCGAAUUUCAAACCUGCGAUUCUAUCUUCAUUGCGACGGCUUCCCUUUGCAAACACGACUAGAUGACCGGAAGAGUUCUGGCGAGGUGGACAGCAGCAUCUUCGAACUCGAAUCCCUUGAAUCAAUGGACACAGUGCCUUAGCAGAUAACGUAAACCAUUACGAAGUGUGACGGUUUAUGUUAGAACAUACGUAAAAAAAACUGUUACACUUUUAUAGCGAUUUUUGAACUAACUGAACAAUAAAAUAACUGCAGUGUUUCUUCACAAAUGGCCAGCAUAAGAAACGUGUGAGUUUAUAGUGGUUUCUUCAUAUGAAAAAUGCUAUAAAUAUCAAGUAAUAGUGUAGCAGUAGAUAAUCAUUUUUCACAAAUUCACAAAUGGCUAAUGAGAAGGGUUUUUUAAUUUUAGUCUAUUACUCUGAAAAAAUU